AACGAACGCUGGCGGCAUGCCUAACACAUGCAAGUCGAACGAGACCUUCGGGUCUAGUGGCGCACGGGUGCGUAACGCGUGGGAAUCUGCCCUUGGGUUCGGAAUAACAGUUGGAAACGACUGCUAAUACCGGAUGAUGACGUAAGCCCAAAGAUUUAUCGCCCACGGUUGAGCCCGCGUAGGAUUAGCUAGUUGGUGAGGUAAAGGCUCACCAAGGGGACGAUCCUUAGCUGGUCUGAGAGGAUGAUCAGCCACACUGGGACUGAGACACGGCCCAGACUCCUACGGGAAGCAGGAGUGAGGAAAGUUGGAAAACGGGCGUAAGUCUGAUCCAGCAAUGCCGCGUGAAUGAUGAAGUCCUUAGGGUUGUAAAGCUCUUUUACCCGGGAUGAUGAUGACAGUACCGGGAAGAUAAGCUGCGGCUAACUCCGUG
rnacentral:rRNA from 1 species